CUGGCCACAGCCCGCGUGCGCAAAGACGGGCCCGGCUCGCCCCCGGCCCGCACAGUUCUCAUGCAACAACUCCAUUUCAGGUCACGACUGAGAAUCCAUUUCUGUUGUAGACCCACAUUUUUUCCCAACCCACACAAACCUGAUCCUAUUCCUCUCACGAGGAGGACUUCCUUCCCAACAUGUUUACAUUCAAAGGUUGAACAAAAUUAACAUCUGUACGUCUGGAACUAUUUUCAUUUGUUUCCAGUUUAAUGUUGGGUCCCUCAAUAUAUGUCAUAGUAGGAGGCUUCUGCUCUGUGUUUGGACCAUGAUGCCCGCAUCUUCAGUCCCGCUCGACUGGUCAGGUCAGGUCUGCAGGGCGGGGCAAGAGCACAAAUCUGGAAUUCGGGACCUCAAUUUCACUGUGUCCUUUUAUGGAUUAGGCCCUUUGUGUGUGCACAGCUUGAAGAAGACAUGUACUAUAUAAAUGCAGAGUAUUAUCAUCUACCACGGCACAUGGAAGCAUUGAGCUGUUGUAGAAUUUAUACUUAAAAACUCAAGCCCUGUCUCUACGAAUCCUCAGCACACGUUUUGUAGUUGUGUCUCCGCCUCUUGGGAGUAUUGGUCUGAGAACUCUCUGCUAUGGUUUUGUUUGGUAUUUGAAUUAAUGUAUUUAGUUUUAAUUUGUGUUUUUAAUAAUAAGUCAUAGCAAUUCAAAUGUGUGGGCACGUGCCUGUCUCUCCCCCUUGUUAGAGGGACUUAAGAAAUAUUCAUAGGACGUUAAUUUCUAGAGCGUACGGUCAGACUGCAGCACGGGAUAUUUGGAUACACGUUUGAAGCCAAUCGAACAAACGAGCAAGAAAGCUGAGAAGUGCAUGUUCAGAGAGGAAGGGCUGCAGCAAGUUGCUGAGGAUUGAGCAGGCAAGAUUUCAGGAGUUUCUGAGGGUCCCGAUUGAAAUCCUACUUUGUUCCACCCUUCUGCUGACUGCAAGAGAACCAUCUCUUUCUCUCCAAGGGAAGCGCUAAGGGGAUUCAUCCACUACCAUUAGAUAUCUAAAACAUACCGGGUGUCCAUCAGUGUCUGAAGCUCUGAGACCAGGGUGCUGCAGUUCAGUUUUGUACAAAAGACGUUUGAUUUCUCACUGCAUAUCUGCUGCUCUGACGUAGGCUUUUUCUGCACAUCCUCAUGUUUCAGCAAUGCACAUCCUGAAAGGCCAGGUCAUCCUAAUACAAGACAUUGCAGGUGUCUGUUGCUAAAUGAAUCCUUUCUUUGUGCAUAAAGCAUUCAAAUUAAUUGUAACGAGCCAAAAAGAAACAACAACAACAACCCUGGACAGCAAUGGCUGGGGGGCCCCAGGCCCCAGCAGGUGAGUCCACUGCAAUAAUUACAAACAUAAUUUCCUCUCUAUGGGAAACUAUUUGUACUUUUGAAUCUGAACUUAGUUUCCUAACAAAGAGUCAAGUUGUGGGAAGGAAUAUGGAGCUCUUAGAAAUGGGAGGCAGAUGCGUAGCAUCAAGUUUCAUACAAGAGAAAAUAAAAUUCAAGCGAGCAAUAUACAGAGGGACAACGUAACUUUUGUGCAGAAAUUCAUCCCUAAUUUGAAGGCAGAUGUGACACUUCAGCAGCACAUAACCCUCUGUAGGGCCUCUGCAUAGGAAAUCAUCACUUUUGAGAUGUUGUAAGUACCGGUGCUAGACAGUAUUCCGCCCGGCACCGACACCCAAACCCGACAAUUUCACAGGACUCUCAAAUAUAUAACGUUACUUAUUAUUAAUUAUAGUAUGAUAAUGUUACUCAUAAAUUGCAUGUAGAUUUGUACACAAAAAAUGGAUUUAUUUCUCUUUUCCAGAGACAGCAUCUGCAGGUGACAUCAUCAGCUGAGUCAGGUAGAGCAGCACCCCUGGAUGGGGGCAGAGCACCUUCCAGUCCCUGCUUCCCGUUGCCAGCUUGCUCCCUGUGUGCUCAGCGAUCUUGGCCCCGCUCGCUCCUUGUUGUUUGCUGAGAGUGUUUCAAAGGACUCAAGAAUCACAUUGCAAUGAGAAACUGAUCAUUUUUAAAAAAGCAUAAAAAAUACCGAAUGUCUGCAGCAUGCUUUUGAGCUUCUACCGCAGCAGACCCUGAAUCUGCUUUGGGGUUAUGAGGAACGUAUUUAGCAUCUGUUACCAACUCCCCAUUAUGCAGAUGCAAAUGUUAGGUUUGUGUUUACUGUGAUAAGCACAUCCAAUGCCUGUCCUGGAACUAAUCGGUUGGAACCGGACAUGUGCAUACUAUCACUUAAUGAGUAUCUGGUCCUUACACGGAUUUUGGCAUUGCUAUAACUACCACUCCCACUCAGCUAAAGGAAGGGAAACUAGAAAAAUGAGCAUCAUACCUCUGAAAUGAACUUCACCGUGUGCCUCAGAUUUACAUUGUGCAAGGAAGGCACGAGCUCUGUAACUGCACACAAACGUGCUACAAAGUGCUUGGACUCCUGUGCUUCGCACCACAAGCACUUCCCUAGACAGGUGGAGUCUCUCGCUAGUUCUGUAUUGGGCUUUUUUCCCUUUCCUAUUCUGAGGCGUCAGGAACUCUGCUCUUAACUGUUAGUUUUGACUUUCUUAAUGUGACUGCAGCGUCGUAUUCAAAACAUGCUCUUUUUGUCAGCACAAGCAAACGAGCAGUUAGAGAUCAGUAUCCUGGAGUAGAUUUGGUGCCCUGGAAAAGCCCAAGUGGUCCUGCUGUGUAGCCUCUGACAAGUGAACAGACAAACUAGAAAGAAUCGAAUUACACUGUCAUCCUCGUCUGUCAGGACAUAAUUUCUGUGAAUGAUUAACAGAGCACAGCACUGGAGAAAGAGUGAAAACCGUAUGAAAGGACAGGGGUCACGUAGAUUGCCUGACAUGAAAGAGGAAAUGCUAAUACUGUUUUGUCACUUUAAGCCCACCAUCACAUGCAGCAACAUGCAGCGUUUGUAAGAACUCAGCUGUCCGGAGUCGACGCGCUCGUAGAGCGCUGGGCGCAGCAGGCAUUGGGAGCUGUGCUGUCAACUUCCCAAAAGGACACCUGGGCAGAAUCUGUCAGGAUGAGUGGCUUUGGCCACACGCUCACCACCCGCCACGCUCCAGACCACUGUGCACAUCAGGCUGUUAGUCUGUCUGCAAAACCCUGGGUACGGCACGGUCUUUAUUUCACAGUCUGAGUUCACUAGCAGGCGUUUGGGUAAUACUGGACAGCAUUCUCACGUGCUCAGGUAAUAAAGCUAAAUGAUCUGGACCAGUGGUUCUCAACCUGUUUGCCAUAGUGGGCCACACUUGCAGCUGUCAAUGUGUUAUGUGGGCUGCACCCACAUAACUUACGUCCCGUGUGUCCGUUUAACGGGAUGUGACAGGGACCGCAGCAGGGUGCUGACUGGGCUGCAUGUGGCCCGCAGGUUGAGAACCACCGAUCUGGAUGUUUUAUUAACAUGUCAGUGCUGAAAAGGGCAGUACGGGUUCUCUAAUACUUGAAAGAUCUGCUGACCUAACCUGGACUUUGUGCUAUAUACGUGAUUGUGUCUCAACAAAAAAGCACAUUUCAACGGACACCUUUACAACUGUGACAAGUUCAUUUUAUAUGUAAAAUGCAGUGAUGUGUAUACUUUUAAAUAAGAAGCACCGCGGUGUUUUCCUUUCCGUUUGUUUCUGAUGGGCAUAGUGCUGCCAGCUGGACUUCUGUCGAAAUGGCAGCAUGCUGACUGAUGUCUUCGCUGGGACUGGACUGCCUGUCGCUCAGAACGUUAGCAAGGUGUUUUGGGGGCUUUUUCGGCGUUUUUGGACAUGGGCGUGUAGAAGACUUACUGCUACAGAAGCACGUGAUGAGACCAGAGCCAAACUACAUUUUUUUAAAACAUGAAAUUGAAACAAAAUCCGGGACAUCUGGCUUCCCCAAGAGCACAGGUCGUAGAAGUAUCUUCAGAACACGUAAUCAAAGCAGUCGAUUUGUUAGCACCUGGAGGCUGAAUUGGAGGAUAAGGACAACAAGAAGAGAAAGAAAUAGAAAUUUAGCUCAUCUGCUUGAGGAGAGCAUCGGCACAGACCCCAACACCGAUGACCGACUAUUUGUGUUCUCGCUGGGCGGUGGAAGUGUGCGAUCUCAGCCACCCUCGUCAAACAGAGCCAAGUGCUGCUCCACUGCACUCGGCCUCUAACCUGGCUGCCGUGCUAAACAAGAAACCAUUACCAGCAAUGCCUGGGUCACCCCACGGAGCCACCUUGCAAGGUACAAACUGCCACGCUGCUGAAGCAUGCAGAAGAGGUAGCCUCCCUCCAGUAGAGCAGGCACUGAUACUGGGAGGGAGACGCUCUACCUGCGACUGACAGCAGGUGGAAGCGCACUGUGGGAUUCACUCGGAAGAUUUUUAAUUGGGGGGCGGGGAGCUGCC